GUUGGUCAGACCAUAGAUAAUAUAGAAGACAGCGCGCUAGCGUAUCUAGUGUUGUAUGUAACUAUGGUCGGAAGGUCUGGCAGCAUCUCUGGCUGCUGUUGACCUUGUUUUUGGAGUAAAACACGGUGGAAGCUGAAUUAGUGAGGAUGACUCCUGCUCCUGUCAUCUCUAAGCUCCUCACACAUCUUUACCUGCACAUGAGGAAAAUCACUCCUGUAGAAUGCAGAUGUUCAGAGGGAGAUGAUGCCACAUCUGGUCCAGCUGAUGGAAGGUCUUGAAGUUCUCUGACUGGCCUCGACUGAAGAUGGUCGUCUCACUGGAUUUAAGGUUCAGAUGCUCAGUAACAAACUCCACCAAUGAGCCAACAGGGAAGCUUUAGGUUUAUUAAAUGUUGCUAUGAAGGUAUCACUGUUUUAUUUUGUGAAUGCAAUGUGCUCCAACUGAAACUUGAAUUAGAACUUAGAAGUAAAUCCUUCCAUCUGAAAGGAUUUAGUUGCAUUAAUAACCUCAUAACAUUCAAAUUUUUAUUCCAGUCUUGGUUGGAAAUAGAAUCUCUGUAUUGAUUCAGGUAAGAACUGAACUUCACAGCAUGUUGGAGCAAAACAACCAGAUGAAAACUGUGAUGGUGUUGGAUUGUCAGACUGUAAUGUUGCAGCUCAAAGCAGCUUUUCUAGCUCAGUUCAUUCUGACAUUCAGCUAUGAAUCAACACAGCAGAUGGUGAUCCAUGCUGUGGAAGUCUCACAUCUCCUGAUUUAAUGGAGCUGCUUGGCACUUUUUACACUGUUUAUUCACCAACACUUUAUUUAAUAAAAGUCCCAUCUAGUUUUUAUGAGGAAUGUGAUGUUUUAAUUCUCUGUGAAUAACUGCAGUCUAAUGCAACAGCUGGAGUUGUAACAUCUGUCCUGAUAUUGAUCAUGAAGUAUUGAUCAGAAUACUUAUGGUCAGCAGUCAUCCCUGAAGUUUUACAUUAAAAUCUUUACUUGUGUUGUGAACUUUGGUAAGAAGCAGAAACGUUAGCGUUGCCAUGGAUAUAUGAGUGUUUAAUUCUGUCCAUGUUUCCAUUUUGGGAAAUGCAGUCCAGUUCCAGAAUGUGGAGGAAUUUAGUCUCACAAUCACAGACAACAAAUAUUAUCUGAAAGUCGGGUUAUUGUUGUUUAUCAGCACAAUACAAAAAGAUUAAUGUUAGAAAUAUUCCAGUUAAGACUCUAGAAUAUCAUGAUUUAUGUAAAUUUACCUCAAUAAUAUGAAUGUUCAGGUUAAGACUGUGCAGUGAUAUUAUGUAAGUUUAGCUGAUUAAAGUUUAUGACUCUGCACUAAAAUAUUAUUUAAAUUGACAUCAUUAUUAUAAUAUUUAGGGUCAGACCCUACAGUAUUGAGAUUAAGAAAUCAAAUAUUCUAUAAAAUGUAAAUACACUGAACUCAUUUGGAUAUAUUUUAGUGAGACUCUACAAUAUUAUUUGACACAAAUCUAUCUAAAUCAAAGUUUUAAUAAUUUUCACGCCAAACAUUUCCUGGACUGAUUUAAAUAUUAAAAUCACUCCUUUCUAAUCCUCUGCUGUGUGUUCAAACCUGAGGCCUUAAAUAGAAACACACAAGUAUCUGUUUGAAGGAACUUCUGUAGAGUCCUGGUUCCAGAACAUGAUGAUAGAAUUAUAGACAAACUUUAACAAAAGCUGCCUGAGAGUUUACAGGUUUUUAUGUUAGAUUUUGUUCAGUAGUUUAAUGAGUUAUCAGCAAAAAUCUAAUGUUGAUUUGAUGAACUUCAUUUCCUAAAACAUCCAGAAUUGGCGCUCAUAUCUUUGGCAGCUGUAAAGUUUCUGCUCCUUCAAAGUUGACAACACAAUGAAUGAAUUCCUAAAACACUCUCAAUGCUGGAGAGCGUUUGUGAUGCUGAAGCAGUGAUCAGUUUUUCAGUUUCUUCUCUGGAGAUGCACAAUGAGGGACGUCUGCAGCGACUGAGAAAGAGUCUCACCGCAUCCUGACAUGAGGAAAAAGACUUUAUUGAAGACUACAAUGAGAAAAACUAUCAGACAGCAGACGGCUGCAUUCAAGUCUGUAGCUGCUGAAUUCAUGGAUGAAUCAUCUGGCACUAGAGAAGAAGACCAUCAAACAUCCAUGUCAGCUGAUGGAGGUCCAAGAGUCUCACCAAACAACCUACAGAGUGAAGACCUCAAAUCUGAUUGGACGGC
ensembl:lncRNA